rnacentral:rRNA from 1 species
GAAUCAAAGAAGGUAAUAAUCCUGUAGUCGAAAAUGUUGUCUCUCUUGAGUGGAUCCUGAGUACGACGGAGCACGUGAAAUUCCGUCGGAAUCUGGGAGGACCAUCUCCUAAGGCUAAAUACUCUCUAGUGACCGAUAGUGAACCAGUACCGUGAGGGAAAGGUGAAAAGCACCCCGGAAGGGGAGUGAAAUAGAACCUGAAACCGUGUGCUUACAAGUAGUCAGAGCCCGUUAAUGGGUGAUGGCGUGCCUUUUGUAGAAUGAACCGGCGAGUUACGAUUUGAUGCAAGGUUAAGCAGUAAAUGUGGAGCCGUAGCGAAAGCGAGUCUGAAUAGGGCGUUUAGUAUUUGGUCGNAGACCCGAAACCAGGUGAUCUACCCUUGGUCAGGUUGAAGUUCAGGUAACACUGAAUGGAGGACCGAACCGACUUACGUUGAAAAGUGAGCGGAUGAACUGAGGGUAGCGGAGAAAUUCCAAUCGAACCUGGAGAUAGCUGGUUCUCUCCGAAAUAGCUUUAGGGCUAGCCUCAAGUGAUGAUUAUUGGAGGUAGAGCACUGUUUGGACGAGGGGCCCCUCUCGGGUUACCGAAUUCAGACAAACUCCGAAUGCCAAUUAAUUUAACUUGGGAGUCAGAACAUGGGUGAUAAGGUCCGUGUUCGAAAGGGAAACAGCCCAGACCACCAGCUAAGGUCCCAAAAUAUAUGUUAAGUGGAAAAGGAUGUGGCGUUGCCCAGACAACUAGGAUGUUGGCUUAGAAGCAGCCAUCAUUUAAAGAGUGCGUAAUAGCUCACUAGUCGAGUGACACUGCGCCGAAAAUGUACCGGGGCUAAACAUAUUA